rnacentral:rRNA from 1 species
UACAGAGGGUGCGAGCGUUAAUCGGAAUUACUGGGCGUAAAGCGUGCGUAGACGGUAGCGUAAGUCAGAUGUGAAAGUCCCGGGCUCAACCUGGGAACUGCAUUUGAGACUGCUCUGCUCGGGUGCGGAAGAGGGAAGCGGAAUUUCCGGUGUAGCGGUGAAAUGCGUAGAUAUCGGAAGGAACACCAGUGGCGAAAGCGAGGUCCUGGACGUUUUCUGACGCUGAGACGCGAAAGCCAGGGGAGCGAACGGG